rnacentral:pre_miRNA from 1 species
UUAGCUCAUAUUUGUAUGGAAUGGGAUCGUUUGCCUGUGUUUGCCGCUAGGGGCGCUGUUCCAAUUCCAUACAAAAUUGGGCAA